AUGUGUGCAGCAGUCAAGGCAGAGGCCGGGCUUGGGGUACCCGAAGGCUGCUGCUUGCGGGUUUGAGAGCGCUCCUAGCCAAGAGAGCGGCAUCCUCCGCAGGGACUAGCCGGGCGCAAACGCCAGAGGGGUGCCUCGCGUCUUCUGCAAACUUUGGGGACGGGUUUGUGAGACGCUUUCCUGACAAUCGCUGCGAUGCUGCCUUUGCCUUACAGGAGGUCCCCGCUGUUGCUGCUGCUGGGUGCCUGGAUGCUGUGGGCGCAAAAUUGCCUCUCUGUGCGAAUCUUCAGUGGUCAGAAGGUAUGCUACGGUGAUUCAACACAUCCCUGUUACAAGAUAGCUUAUUUCCAUGAUGUGUCCAGACGUGUGGGUUUCCAAGAGGCCCGCCAUGCCUGUGAAAUUGAUGGUGGUGUACUCCUAAGCCUACAAAGUGAAACAGAACAGACACUAAUAGAAAAUAUGUUGCAGAACCUAACAAAGUCAGGCCAUGGGAUUUCUGAUGGUGAUUUCUGGAUUGGCCUGUGGAGAAGUGGAGAGGGCCAAGCUACUUCAAAUGCCUGCCCUGAUCUUUACAAAUGGGCUGAUGGAAGCACUUCACUCUUCAGAAAUUGGUAUACAGAUGAACCUUCCUGUGGGAGUGAAGCAUGUGUUGUGAUGUAUCAUCAGCCGACUGCUAAUCCUGGCUUGGGAGGGCCCUAUCUUUACCAAUGGAAUGAUGACAGAUGCAACAUGAAGCACAAUUUUAUCUGCAAGUAUGCUCCAGAUGACAUCCUUGAAAAAGAAUUAGGAGAUAGAGCAGAUGAAGAUUAUGAAGUUCAGACAACAAUACCAGUAGGGAAGCCUCAUGAUUCAAGCAACCCAGAAGAUAAUUUCCCUGUGGUUGUUACUGAAACUGGUUUAAUUCCCAAUCUCAUUUAUGUUGUUAUACCAACUAUACCACUGCUCUUGUUGAUAUUAGUGGCUUUUGGCACUUGCUGUUUCCAGAUGCUGCAUAAAAGGCUGGAUAACAAUUGAAUGAGAGGUCUUCCAUGAUUGGUGCAGCAGUGUCCUGGAGUGAAGUCAUGGAAAAGCAGCUGCCAUGGCAGUGCUGGAAAAGAAUAAAGGAAACCUAUGUAAAGGAAGAACAAAAACUAGUCCGGACCAGUCUACGCUAUGGAUUUCAAAGAACCCCAGGAAAGAUAGUAGCAUGGAGGUAUAGAGAUAUGACUCAAAAGUGAGGAGGAAUACCAUUUUUUUUACAGGCAGGAUCUCUUAUAUUGUCAUGUCAGAUAUUAGCUUGGAAUGGCUUGAAAUUGCAAAGGAUCAGCAACACGAACUAGAAGCUCCCUCUUGAGGCAACUGUUCAAAUCUUUUUUUAUAUGCAAUGCUUUAUUUUUAAUUCAGCAGCAAAAUGUGCCACUUUAAAAGGAAAAGAAUGCAUUUAUUUUGCUAAGGAAAAUGACUCUGCUACAGAUAGCAAGGAGAUGGACUAAGCCUUUGGAAUAUAUAUGCGAAUAUAUAUGUCCACUUGUAUAUGUCAGUUCUAAAACAAUUAUUUCUAGUUUAAAUUUAACCUUUCCCCCCUUGUUAGUUUCUCAUACAUUGUACCUUAAUUGAUGUACUGUAUCUUAUGUUAGUAUAAAUUUACAGUGUAAGAAAGUAAUUUAUCUUUGCAUAAAAGUUUGAUAAAA